rnacentral:rRNA from 1 species
AUUGAACGCUGGCGGCAGGCUUAACACAUGCAAGUCGAGCGGGGUGAUGGUGCUUGCACUAUCACUUAGCGGCGGACGGGUGAGUAAUGCUUAGGCAUCUGCCUAUUAGUGGGGGACAACAUCGCGAAAGGGAUGCUAAUACCGCAUACGUCCUACGGGAGAAAGCAGGGGAUCACUUGUGACGUUGUGCUAAUAGAUGAGCCUAAGGCGGAUUAGCUAGUUGGUGGGGUAAAGGCCUACCAAGGCGACGAUCUGUAGCGGGUCUGAGAGGAUGAUCCGCCACACUGGGACUGAGACACGGCCCAGACUCCUACGGGAGGCAGCAGUGGGGAAUAUUGGACAAUGGGGGGAACCCUGAUCCAGCCAUGCCGCGUGUGUGAAGAAGGCCUUAUGGUUGUAAAGCACUUUAAGCGAGGAGGAGGCUUACCUAGUUAAUACCUGGGAUAAGUGGACGUUACUCGCAGAAUAAGCACCGGCUAACUCUGUGCCAGCCGCCGCGGUAA